AUUGAACGCUGGCGGCAGGCCUAACACAUGCAAGUCGAGCGGAUGAAGGGAGCUUGCUCCUGGAUUCAGCGGCGGACGGGUGAGUAAUGCCUAGGAAUCUGCCUGGUAGUGGGGGAUAACGUCCGGAAACGGGCGCUAAUACCGCAUACGUCCUGAGGGAGAAAGUGGGGGAUCUUCGGACCUCACGCUAUCAGAUGAGCCUAGGUCGGAUUAGCUAGUUGGUGGGGUAAAGGCCUACCAAGGCGACGAUCCGUAACUGGUCUGAGAGGAUGAUCAGUCACACUGGAACUGAGACACGGUCCAGACUCCUACGGGAGGCAGCAGUGGAGAAUAUUGGACAAUGGGCGAAAGCCUGAUCCAGCCAUGCCGCGUGUGUGAAGAAGGUCUUCGGAUUGUAAAGCACUUUAAGUUGGGAGGGAGGGCAGUAAGUUAAUACCUUGCUGUUUUGACGUUACCAACAGAAUAAGCACCGGCUAACUUCG
rnacentral:rRNA from 1 species